rnacentral:rRNA from 1 species
GACAGAGGGGGCAAGCGUUGCUCGGAAUUACUGGGCGUAAAGGGCGCGUAGGCGGGAUGGCAAGUCGGUCGUGAAAUCCUUCGGCUCAACCGAAGAACGUCGGCCGAUACUGCCGUUCUUGAGGGAUGCAGAGGAGAUUGGAAUUCCCGGUGUAGCGGUGAAAUGUGUAGAGAUCGGGAGGAACACCGGUGGCGAAGGCGGGUCUCUGGGCCGAUACUGACGCUGAGGAGCGAAAGCGUGGGGAGCGAGCAGG